rnacentral:rRNA from 1 species
CCUACGGGAGGCAGCAGUGAGGAAUAUUGGUCAAUGGACGAGAGUCUGAACCAGCCAAGUAGCGUGAAGGAUGACUGCCCUAUGGGUUGUAAACUUCUUUUAUAUGGGAAUAAAAUGUUCCACGUGUGGGAUUUUGUAUGUACCAUAUGAAUAAGGAUCGGCUAACUCCGUGCCAGCAGCCGCGGUAAUACGGAGGAUCCGAGCGUUAUCCGGAUUUAUUGGGUUUAAAGGGAGCGUAGGUGGAUUGUUAAGUCAGUUGUGAAAGUUUGCGGCUCAACCGUAAAAUUGCAGUUGAAACUGGCAGUCUUGAGUACAGUAGAGGUGGGCGGAAUUCGUGGUGUAGCGGUGGAAUGCUUAGAUAUCACGAAGAACUCCGAUUGCGAAGGCAGCUCACUGGACUGCAACUGACACUGAGGCUCGAAAGUGUGGGUAUCAAACAGGAUUAGAUACCCGAGUAGUC